GGCAGAGGGAGGGCGAAGCAGAGCACUAUUAAAUCUGAGAUGGUUCUCUGGUUUCAGCUUAGAGAAUGGAUUGAAGAGAAAAUGUGGGUAAAAGGACACUAAUUGAGAUGAUAGAUGGUGAGUGGAUGGACUAGGAAGAGGUGGUAGAGAGAAGUGGACAUACUUGAGAGAUAUUUAAGAAUUAAAAAUGAUGGGGCCGGGGCAGUGGCUCACACCUGUAAUCCCAGCACUUUGGGAGGCCAAGGCAGGCAGAUCACAAGGUCAGGAGAUUGAGACCAUUCUGGCCAACGUGGUGAAACCCCGUCUCUACUAAAAAUACAAAAAUUAGCUGGGUGUGGUGGCAUGCACCUAUAAUCCCAGCUACUCAGGAGGCUGAGGCAGGAGAAUUGCUUGAACCCAGGAGGCGGAGGUUGCAGUGAGCCGAGUUCGCACCACUGCUCCAGCCUGGGGACAGAACGAGAUUCUGUGUUAAAAAAAAAACAAACAAAAAAACACAACUUUCUGAUUGUACAUGAAGGAGGAAGAGAUUGAGGUAACUAUGCUGAGUUGGAAAUUUCUAGCCAACGUAACUAAACAGUGCCAUGUAGUAAAGAGGGAAGACUGAAGUAGAUCAGAGUCAGGGAGAAGCAUUUUAUUGAUCUUAUUUACAUCAGGUGAAGAAUGAGGUAUCUUUGAAACAUCUAUGUGAAGAUAGCAAGAAGAUAACUGGUAAUUCAGGUCCAGAGCUGUAAGGAUUGCUCAAGACUGGGGUAUUCUAUUUUCAAUGCCUUUAAAGUAAGGGAGGUAACUGAAGCCAAGGGCACAGAUGAGGCUGGGGAGAGGUUUGGGAAGUGGAGAGAAAUCAAGAAAGAGGUAAUGGAGAAGUGAAAAUAUUACACAAAAAAGGAAAACAUCCCUAAGAGGCUCCUCUAUUAAAGGAGGAGAGGGAGGAAAGGACAAAUAAUCAAGUUGGAGAAACCCAUACACACACAGGAAAGACCAGACUGGUGGUGACUGACACUCAAGCAGAAGUCAGUUAUGCAAAGAUAACUUAGAAAGUGUAAGUGACAAAAGAACAUGCAGAUGAAAAACAGGCUUGUAGGUGGCCAUGAUGACAUCGAAGGCAAAUGUCAGGAGGAAACUCAAGAUUGCAAAGAAAGUGACCACUGCUUAUGUGUGAUUCCAGGGAUCAACAAGAGACAGAGUGAGAAGGGACCACUUCAAACACGUGUCAUUUUACCCAAGAGCAGGGACAUGGAAUGGCACUGGGAAGGGCAAACAGGUAUGUUGAGAGGCUAUACAACUGCAAUGCCGUAGAUCAUAAGAAAAGAGAGUUAAUGCAGAUGCCUGAGAAUAUCAAGC
rnacentral:lncRNA from 10 species